AUACGUAGGGGGCAAGCGUUAUCCGGAUUUACUGGGUGUAAAGGGAGCGCAGACGGCGAUGCAAGUCUGAAGUGAAAUGCCGCAGCUCAACUGCGGAAUUGCUUUGGAAACUGUGUGGCUAGAGUAUCGGAGGGGUAAGCGGAAUUCCUAGUGUAGCGGUGAAAUGCGUAGAUAUUAGGAAAAACACCGGUGGCGAAGGCGGUUUACGGGACGAUACGUAGCGUUGGGGCUGAAAAGCGGGGGGAGCAAAGAGGAUAAGAGCCCCGGGUAGCCCACGCCGUAAACGAUGAAAACUAGGUUUCGGCAUCUAAGAGAUGUCGGUGCCGCCGCUAACGCAUUAAGUAUUCCACCUGGGGAGUACGUUCGCAAGAAUGAAACUCAAAGGAAUUGACGGGG
rnacentral:rRNA from 1 species